rnacentral:misc_RNA from 1 species
CAGAUGCGAUAAGUAAUACGAAUUGCAGGUCUCUGUGAAUCAUCAAAUUUUCGAACGCACUGCGCCCGGGAGCAAUCUCGGGCACAUUCGGUUGAGUGACAAUUUUAAUUCUUGAUACCCAGUAUCACUGUCGGCGGUUUUUUGAUCGAAAUCCGCUCAGAAUCUUUUUCGGAGCCGCUUUCGGCGAGCUUACUUACCCAACCGAAGAGAGAAAUUUUUUCGGCGGUUCGUCGGCAGCGUGACAGGCAU